CCUACGGGAGGCAGCAGUGAGGAAUAUUGGUCAAUGGGCGGGAGACUGAACCAGCCAAGCCGCGUGAGGGAUGAAGGUACAGAGGAUCGUAAACCUCUUUUGUCAGGGAACAAAGGCGGGCACGCGUGCCCGGCUGAGUGUACCUGAAGAAAAAGCAUCGGCUAACUCCGUGCCAGCAGCCGCGGUAAUACGGAGGAUGCGAGCGUUAUCCGGAUUUAUUGGGUUUAAAGGGUGCGCAGGCGGUCUGUUAAGUCAGCGGUAAAACUCCGGGGCUCAACCCCGGCCCGCCGGUGAAACUGAUGUUC
rnacentral:rRNA from 1 species